UCAGGAAAUAAUGUUAGAGGCAGAGUUAGCAGUGAGAGCUAGAGAGGAGGCACUAAACCAGGAACUCUCUAGGCUUAGAGACGAACUGGACAAACAGAGAGAGAUGCAAAGUGAAUAUCAACAGGCGAAAUCAGCUGAAUCCGAGAGUUCCAAUUGUAUUAUUCAAUAAUGUGUUCGGAGGAUAG